GGACUGUAGAUCCCAUCUAUUCUAGCCAGUAUAAAUCUUUUGCCUCUUACUAAAGAUUUCUGUGGAGAGGAACAUUUAUGAGUUUGUAACUAAUUUUUGAGAUUAUAGAGCUUGGCAGUAAC
rnacentral:snRNA from 1 species